UACGGAGGGUGCUAGCGUUGUUCGGAAUUACUGGGCGUAAAGCGCACGUAGGCGGCUUUGUAAGUUAGAGGUGAAAGCCCGGGGCUCAACUCCGGAACUGCCUUUAAGACUGCAUCGCUUGAAUCCAGGAGAGGUGAGUGGAAUUCCCGGUGUAGCGGUGAAAUGCGUAGAGAUCGGGAAGAACGCCGGCGGCGAAAGCGACUCUCUGGUCGGAUCCUGACGCUGAGGUGCGAAAGCUAGGGGAGCAAACGGG
rnacentral:rRNA from 1 species